rfam:Burkholderiales bacterium 70-64 SCNpilot_expt_1000_bf_scaffold_947, whole genome shotgun sequence.
AAAAUGCGUGGGUCAUUGGGGAGUAGCCUCUCUUCAUCGCGAAGAGGCUUACGUCAACACACUUGACCAGCAGGUCAUGGCGUAAGCGGUUCCCGAGCUUGGCAAGAUCUUUGACCACAACGCCUCCGUUUUUGGCCGGGGAUGCGUCGUGGUCAAUCGUCUUUGGACCGGCCUGGGAAU